GGUCUAUUAGUCUAGUUGGUUAGGACGUCGGAUUCUGAUCCCUCUCUCUCGAGCUCGGAAUUUCCGUAAGCCCAGGUUCGAAUCCUGGAUGGACCU
rnacentral:tRNA from 2 species